GCAACCUCUGGAGAGAGUUUGAAGAUAAUCAUGUUAAAUUAGAAACAUCACCUGACAAGUCGCAUGAUUAUUUCACUAAAAACAUCUACUAUACUACUAAAGUAUUGUAUGAGGAGUUUAUGCAAUGAUUUCUACAUUUGACACGUCUGACAUUCUCAAUAUCAUUGACAUAUCUUUUACAAGAAGAUUGUAGAGCCUAGGAGAGGUUCCACUUGCAGUAACAGCACAAAUUGCAGUGCAAAUGACAAAUUGACAUAUCUUUUACAAGAAGAUUGUGGAGCCUAGGAGAGGUUCUACUUGACAAACUGACAUAUCUUUUACAAGAAGAUUGUGGAGCCUAGGACAGGGUCCACUUGCAGGAACAGCACAAAUUGCAGUGCAAAUGACAAAUUGACAUAUCUUUUACAAGAAGAUUGUGGAGCCUAGGAGAGGUUCCACUUGCAGGAACAGCACAAAUUGCAGUGCAAAUGACAAAUUGACAUACUAUUUUUCUCGGCCGCCGACGGAGACCACCGGUGUAAGGGUGCAGUCUCCCACGGUUCCUGAGAGUUUCCAGACAUUCUCAAUAAUCUCACCUGCAGGGAAUUUGGGAAGCUGUCGUGCGCAGCAUGAAGCGUCAUCCGAAACAAGUAUUGACAUUAGAAGAGUUCUCGACACUUUUGACACAUUGAGGCUUGCCUUAACUCGAUGCUCCGUAUGCACGUACCUCAGUACGUCGUUUUGACACCGGGAAACUUCCUAGUUUGAGUACCGGAAUACCGUUACUUUUAUCAACAUGACAGAAAAUGACAUUGAAACCUGCAUUAAACAGAAUGACAACAAAUUACUAUGCCCCUUAAAAACCCUGUCUAUAGCCUCAAAACACAUGAGUCACUAUGCGACAUGCGUCUGAUUAUAAAUACCUAAUAACAUUAAAUACCUACUGUCGGUCUGAGACAAAGAUAUGCACAGACACAUAGGUCAAGUUACACGCACGCGACUCUUGGUUGUUUACAUGCGGCCAGGAAUGCUACGUUCGCAUUUUAUGCCCAGCUGGAGUAUCGACGAAACGCUUACAAUGCAUGAGAAUCAUUGCACUAGGUCAGGGCUGUGUUAUGAAAAUGAACAUUGACACAAUAAAACCUUAUAUUAUAUCAUCCCCACUGAAUAUAAAGCAAAGAUGCAAGAAGCGGCCGCGUACGCGAGAGGAGCCUCCGAUCGAGAUGACCCGGCGGAGGCCGGGAGUGAGUGAGUACAAGUGCAGUGUUGCUAAUGAGGUAGUGCCCUGUCAUAUACAAGUAGCCUCACCAGUGAAGUGUUGUGACUCAAAUCAAUCUUUGAACAAUCUAAAUAAAUCGACGUCCUCAUUCAUGAUAGACCAUACAGUGACAUUUGAUUAAGACAUUUUGCAUUAGAUUUUGUAAUUAUUUAUAGUUAGGAAUGGAACUAACUUGCACUAAACUAUUGUUACUGCACAUUGACUAACGUGAUGACAUGUAAAUAUUUAAGACUAGACUUAACCUUGAUUCAGUUAAUUAGUUAACCUAGGUAGCUUUCGUUCUCUUGGGUGGCAGUAUGUAUGAGCCACUCAUACAUGAGACUAUUUGAUGACAGCGCGUACAUGCGCGCCCUCAAUUAAGGAAGUCGUGACAUCUUUGUAAAUACACGAUUAUUACAUUUACGAUUAUUAUAAGUUUAAGCUUUAGUACAUUAUAGACCUUUAUACGUA